GUAGAGUGUAUGCUGCAAGCAGGGAUCAGCUGUUUUGCGGAAUUUUACAUUAUCUGGAAACGUUCUGUUCAUGUCUGUUUUGAUUGCUUCAACCAGCUUGUCAUUUUUCUCUCCUUCGAGCAGUCUCUGGUAGUACCCAGGGUUUUGCUCCAUGUUGGUUUGAGCCCCACUCACAAUCAUCCAGAUCAAUGCACGAUGUUCGUUGGGAAUGCCUUUCC
rnacentral:lncRNA from 1 species